GAUUCUGAAAAUCUUGCCCUGCUCCCUUCUGGAUCCCUGAGGAGUCGCACAGUAUCACUGUCAGUGGGAGGAAGGAGCAUUUAGCUUUCAAUCUUCCUCCAGUGUGCAAUGCCAGUGUGUCCUUCCAUGUGCUCUGUGCAAUCACAGAGAAGAGCAGAGAGGGAAGGGGCCGGGCCCAGGGCUGUGCCCCGGGGCUGAGCCUUGUGGGCAGCCUGAGGAUCUCCUGCAGUGCCACAGGAGCUCUUCUCUCCUGCCUUUCUUUGCAGCUGAACCUGCCGGUGAAGGCCCCACAUCCAGGACUGAGGCUGUGGGAGAUGCUGAGGGUGUGUCUGCAGGGAGGACUUCUCAAGCUCCAGGGCUGGAUGCUUGGCCCCAACCCAGCUCCCAUGGCAGGGGUGAGUAGUGUGUCCCUGCUAACCACACAGGCUGAGCCCCGCUUUUGUGGGACCCAUUCCUGGGAAAUGGAACUACUUUUUCUUAAGGUCCUCCAAAAGGGAAGACCCAAGAUACUGCAGCCAAAAUGUCUCAUGAGGCAGAUGAAUUCCUGAGAGAAACACAGAAGGAAGCACCCGGAGGACAAGUGAUGGACCAAAAGGCUGUUCAGGAGGAGGAACACUCAGGGAGAAGCAGUGGCUCAUUGGCAGCCCCUGCUGCAGGAAGGAAGGCGAUGCCAGACACGGGCACAGGCA